rnacentral:rRNA from 1 species
AAAAUUUUAAAAGUCGAACAGACUUAAUUAUUUAGCCACUACACCAAAUAGAAAUUUUAAUCCAACAUCGAGGUCGCAAUCUUUAUUAUCAAUAUGAACUUUCUAAUAAAAUUACG